CUCUAAGAGGAGGUUUGAAUUAUUUUUAGGAACAAGUUUGGCGCAGGAAAGAGGCCUGUUCUAGAUCUGCUUCUGCCUGGAAGAUUUGGCUUACAGUCUGAAUACCUGUGACUUCAGAGAAUUAAUCAUGGUCACAAAUCAGGACUCCGCUCCAUGGGCUUCAAAUCACUAGCCAGGAGGCUACUAUGGUUGCAGCUGUAAUAGCCUGAUGGAUAAAUCCCCUAUCCCAUCCUGUUCGCUUUAAUGUGGGAUUCUGAAAGCUGUUCACAUAGCAGAAAAGUUGUCCAAGCUAAUCAUACGUAUGUUUCGCAAAG